GGCGGCAUCGUCUAGCCAGGUCCAGGAUACCUGGUUCUCAGCCAGGAGACCGGGGUUCAAAUCCCCGUGCCGCUACCA
rnacentral:tRNA from 2 species